UACGUAGGGACCUAGCGUUGUCCGGAAUCAUUGGGCGUAAAGCGCGCGUAGGCGGCCCGGUAAGUCCGUUGUAAAAGUCGAAGGCUCAACCUUCGAAAGCCGAUGGAUACUGCCGGGCUAGAGUACGGAAGAGGCGAGUAGAAUUCCUGGUGUAGCGGUGGAAUGCGCAGAUAUCGAGGAGGAAUCACCCAUAGCGAAGGCAGCUCGCUGGGACGUUACUGACG
rnacentral:rRNA from 1 species